UCGGCCCGUCAGUGCUCAAGGACGUGUCGUAUUGAAAAGUACUCCCGAAAAUUUUAUUAAAAAUGACGGUUUGUUCAAUGAACGGAUGUCAUAGUACAUCGGAAAAACACAAGAAAGAUAGUAACAUUACAUUUCACGGGUUUCCUUCCUAUCAUCGAAGCGACAAUUGUUCAGAAAACACUUUCCGUUGUUACAAGGCUACUGAAAUAAAUAAUUAUACUUGUUUUUUUUUUUCUUUCUCAUAAAGUGUUCUCAUCUCGAUCACUCUAAGACCCGUAUCUAUCUAUAGACAAGUUAUAACUUGAAACAUGACUUUUCUCUAUAAUUCUGGCACUUGUUUGUUUGAGCAUAAAAUAUUUUCUUAGGUCAUUCCUUAAGCAAAAGUAACUACUUUGCUUGACUAUAGAUACAGACGUAAACUAGAAUGCUUCUAAGUGAAUUAGAAUAUUCGCGUGUUUUUUGUAAGUUACACUAUUAUUAAAUUAAAAAACCGCCCUAUAAACAAUGCCACCAAAAAUAAUAACUUUACACCAAAUAACGUAAGUAUUUUGAAGUAGGUCGUGUGGUGGCGGGUUUAAACAAAAAACAAAAAAAAUUAUACAAGUUUUAUUUUCAUCAUGCAGGCAAUAUUCGUGUAUUCUGGUAAAUAGGUACGUUAGAUUAUUUAGGAUGUAAACAAAACGGGUCACUACCGAGUAGUUUCUAUAGACGAAUUGCACUUAUAUUUAGCUCCUAAUCGUUUAGGGGAUUUAUGGGCCUUGUCAUCAGUUCAGCAGUAAUAAUUGAUGAGUUCCAAAUAAAUAAAAGGUGUAAUCUAACAAUCACAUUUGUUCUGUGAUCACAAGUAAUAGUUUGAAAUUCUCUAUUUUUAGAGAAAGUUAAUAUAUUGGCAACAUUCUUUUUUUCACUGUGUGCGUUUCGUCGAGCGUAAAUACAAGUACCUUACGCACACAUAGAUUAUAUUUUUGCCUCACUUUUGACAGACCGCUUUGAAGAGAACUAUCGUUCUAUGUGUAAUUAUUCUAAGGGCUGUAAUAAGAGAAAAGUUCACAAAUCGUCACGCACGGAGACGUCGGAGACUCGACGAAUUUCAGCCACUGGAGCAGGCCGGGAUUCGAGGAGGAUACAGCACCACAAACACAUUAAGGCAGAUUAUACAGAAGACCCAAGAGUAUGGCUAUCGAAAUCUGGUCAGUUCUAGGAUCAUAGCAACGUUGCCAAAUAGACUGGGGAUAUAUCCAAGUGAUUAAAUGUAUUUAAAGCGCUGCGAAUAUGACCGUCCAAACCGGGCAGCCUGGACACAUCAAGGAGUGAGACAAGAGGAUGUUAUAUCCCCUAAAUUGUUCACAAAUUUAUUCACUUUUAAGACGCUGGAGUGGAAAGGAAUAAACAUAAACGGCGAGACACUUUUCACACUUGAGAUUUGCACAUGACAUCGUCGUCGUGUUGUAACAAUUGCUGAACAACUUAGCCAACUCUUCUAUUCGCAUUAGCAUUCGAAUGAAUUUGAAUAAAAUCAAGAUCAUGUUUAACCAAUAUGUCCAACCGGAGGCGAUUGCCGUGAGGCAGCUCGCUCAAAAUUAUUUAAAAAUGUGUUUACCUGGGGCAAACAUUGCAGCUUGGUAAAAACAAAUUCGACAAAGAGGCCAGCAGAAGAAUACAAUUGAGCUGGGCCGCUUCAUGAAAAAUUACGUCGAAUAUUUUUGUCGUCUAUUACGCAAAGUCUAAAGACGAAAUACUUCACAACAAACGUUCACGAUUGACUUCCACGGUGAAGGAAUAUCAUCGUGUAAUAAAAAUUAAACCCGUAAAAUUAUAA